GAUUAUGGCUCAGGAUGAACGCUAGCGGCAGGCUUAACACAUGCAAGUCGAGGGGUAACGCGGUGUAGCAAUACACUGGCGACGACCGGCGCACGGGUGCGUAACGCGUAUGCAACCUACCUUGUACAGGGGGAUAACGGAGAGAAUUUCCACUAAUAUCCCAUGGUGUUGGAGAAUCGCAUGUUUCUCCGACUAAAGCUUCGGUGGUACAAGAUGGGCAUGCGUGACAUUAGCUAGUUGGCGGGGCAACGGCCCACCAAGGCGACGAUGUCUAGGGGAGCUGAGAGGCUUAUCCCCACACUGGUACUGAGACACGGACCAGACUCCUACGGGAGGCAGCAGUGAGGAAUAUUGGUCAAUGGACGGAAGUCUGAACCAGCCAUGCCGCGUGGAGGAAAAGAAGGUCCUAUGGGUUGUAAACUCCUUUUGUCCGAGAGUAAUAAGUGGGAUGCGUCCCGCGAUGAGAGCAUCGGGCGAAUAAGCAUCGGCUAACUCCGUGCCAGCCGCCGC
rnacentral:rRNA from 1 species